AACAUCUCAUCCGUGCCUUUUCAGUUGCUGGGCAAGCACGAACUUGGCCGAAGCUGGGUUCUUGUGCUGCGUACCUACCUCGAAGGAAUUGUGUUGGCUAUAAUUCUCCCAUUUCAACCCUGUGCUGCCUUCCCUUGCGGGGAAGCUGUGCGGGUUGGACUUCAAGGCUGUUGCCGUGUUUCACACCGUGCUCACCUCUACGGGAGUUCCGGUUCUUGACCCACGGCGCCAUGCUUGAUUUCUUGGGUGCGGAAUAUCACGUGGAUUCAAGGCCAUUGGCCUCGUUUUCCACAAAAAAKAGCGUUCGACGCUGAGUGCGAACGACGGUUGGCUUGGUCUUCUGUUGUGCUCUUGUAGCCCGAUUGGAGUCGAGUCGGCGUCGU
rnacentral:misc_RNA from 1 species